rnacentral:rRNA from 1 species
UACGUAGGGACCAAGCGUUGUUCGGAUUUACUGGGCGUAAAGGGCGCGUAGGCGGCUUGACAAGUCACUUGUGAAAUCUCCGGGCUUAACUCGGAACGGCCAAGUGAAACUGUCAUGCUAGAGUGCAGAAGGGGCAAUCGGAAUUCUUGGUGUAGCGGUGAAAUGCGUAGAUAUCGAGAGGAACACCUGCGGCGAAGGCGGGUAGCUGGGCCGACACUGACGCUGAGGCGCGAAAGCCAGGGGAGCGAACGGG